rnacentral:lncRNA from 1 species
UAGUAUCAGGAUAAUAGUGGAUGUGAAGUGCCAGAGACCAGCUCCAGUUGCAAGGUUCAGGUCCUGAGACAGGGAAGGGGUGAAGACACUGAAGGGGUGAAGACACUGAGCACCUGCUGACUUUCAAGUUAUAGAGUACUGAGAUUUGAAAGAAAGCAUCAAGAAAUUGCAACAUGAAUGAUGGAUGAAGUAAAUCAAGAUGGAUUAACAGCUGUGGUAUAUAUAGCUGUGAGCAUUGCAAAGCAUCAUGCAAGCACAGGCAGAGCACACUUGGAACUGGAAAGAGGAAGACUGGAGAGCUACACAGAUCUCCAAGGACUUUAACUUUUCAGUCCUUUGUUCAUUGUGAUGGCUUUUAGGCCUCUACCAAAGCUCUGCUUUUAUUUUGAGAACUCUCUUUCCUUCAAUCUUUU